AUUGAACGCUGGCGGAAUGCUUUACACAUGCAAGUCGAACGGCAGCACGGGGCAACCUGGUGGCGAGUGGCGAACGGGUGAGUAAUAUAUCGGAACGUGCCCAAUCGUGGGGGAUAACGUAGCGAAAGUUACGCUAAUACCGCAUACGAUCUACGGAUGAAAGCGGGGGAUCGCAAGACCUCGCGCGAAUGGAGCGGCCGAUAUCAGAUUAGGUAGUUGGUGGGGUAAAGGCUCACCAAGCCAACGAUCUGUAGCUGGUCUGAGAGGACGACCAGCCACACUGGAACUGAGACACGGUCCAGACUCCUACGGGAGGCAGCAGUGGGGAAUUUUGGACAAUGGGCGCAAGCCUGAUCCAGCCAUUCCGCGUGCAGGAUGAAGGCCUUCGGGUUGUAACUGCUUUUGUACGGAACGAAACGGUCUGCCCUAAUACGGCAGGCUAAUGACGGUACCGUAAGAAUAAGCACCGGCUAACUACGUGCCAGCAGCCGCGGUAA
rnacentral:rRNA from 1 species